AGGGUUUGGGGGCGUGCC
rnacentral:misc_RNA from 1 species